AUCUGAAUCUUCAUCUCAGAUUUUUAAGAAAUUCCAAGGCUAAAGGCUUAUCGUUUUUUUGGACAAAAAGGUGAAGUAUUUGCCAGGAGAAUUCCAGGACGCUUUUCCUGAGUAAAAAAGCGCAACGAACAAGGAGCCGUCAAUCAAAUUGAACUGGUAUUCGGAUUCCUGAGAUCAAAAUACAUAAGGAUAGCGUGGGGAACCCUUCCAAAAAAAAUCUGGAUCUUCAUCUCAGAUUUUGAGAAAAUUCCAAGACUAUAGGCUUAUUGUUUUUUUCGGCAAAAAAGUGAAGCAUUUGCCAGAAUGAUUUCGGGACGCUUUUUCUAUGUAAAAAAGCGUAUCGAACGAGAAGCCGUCAAUAAAAUUGAGCUGGCGUAAGAUUCCAUCGAGAUUCGGAUUCCUGAGAUCAAAAUACAUGAGGAUAGCGUGGGGAACCCUUGAAAAAAAAAUCUCUCCUCUCAUCUCAGAUUUUGAGAAAAUUCCAAGGCUAUAGGCUUACUGUUUUUUUCGGCAAAAAAGUAAAGCAUUUGCUAGAAUAAUUCUAGGACGCUUUUUCUACGUGAAAAAGCGUAUCGAACGAGAAGCCGUCAAUAAAAUUGAGCUGGCGUAAGAUUCCAUCGAGAUUCGGAUUCCUGAGAUCAAAAUACAUAAGGAUAGCAUGACAAACCCUUCCAAAAAAAAUCUGGAUCUUCAUCUCAGAUUUUGAGAAAAUUCCAAGGCUAUAGGCUUACUGUUUUUUUCGGCAAAAAAGUAAAGCAUUUGCUAGAAUAAUUCUAGGACGCUUUUCCUACGUGAAAAAGCGUAUCGAACAAGAGGCCGUCAAUGAAAUUGAGCUGGCGUAAGAUUCCAUCGAGAUUCGGAUUCCUGAGAUCAAAAUACAUAAGGAUAGCAUGACAAACCCUUCCAAAAAAAAUCUGGAUCUUCAUCUCAGAUUUUGAGAAAAUUCCAAGGCUAUAGGCUUACUGUUUUUUUCGGCAAAAAAGUAAAGCAUUUGCUAGAAUAAUUCUAGGACGCUUUUCCUACGUGAAAAAGCGUAUCGAACAAGAGGCCGUCAAUGAAAUUGAGCUGGCGUAAGAUUCCAUCGAGAUUCGGAUUCCUGAGAUCAAAAUAUAUACGGAUAGCGUGGGGAACCCUUCCAAAAAAAAUCUGGAUCUUCAUCUCAGAUUUUGAGAAAAUUCCAAGACUAUAGGCUUACUGUUUUUUUCGGCAAAAAAGUGAAGCAUUUGCCAGAAUGAUUUCGGGACGCUUUUUCUAUGUAAAAAAGCGUAUCGAACGAGAAGCCGUCAAUAAAAUUGAGCUGGCGUAAGAUUCCAUCGAGAUUCGGAUUCCUGAGAUCAAAAUACAUGAGGAUAGCGUGGGGAACCCUUCCAAAAAAAAUCUGGAUCUUCAUCUCAGAUUUUGAGAAAAUUCCAAGGCUAUAGGCUUACUGUUUUUUUCGGCAAAAAAGUAAAGCAUUUGCUAGAAUAAUUCUAGGACGCUUUUUCUACGUGAAAAAGCGUAUCGAACGAGAAGCCGUCAAUAAAAUUGAGCUGGCGUAAGAUUCCAUCGAGAUUCGGAUUCCUGAGAUCAAAAUACAUAAGGAUAGCAUGACAAACCCUUCCAAAAAAAAUCUGGAUCUUCAUCUCAGAUUUUGAGAAAAUUCCAAGGCUAUAGGCUUACUGUUUUUUUCGGCAAAAAAGUAAAGCAUUUGCUAGAAUAAUUCUAGGACGCUUUUCCUACGUGAAAAAGCGUAUCGAACAAGAGGCCGUCAAUGAAAUUGAGCUGGCGUAAGAUUCCAUCGAGAUUCGGAUUCCUGAGAUCAAAAUACAUAAGGAUAGCAUGACAAACCCUUCCAAAAAAAAUCUGGAUCUUCAUCUCAGAUUUUGAGAAAAUUCCAAGGCUAUAGGCUUACUGUUUUUUUCGGCAAAAAAGUAAAGCAUUUGCUAGAAUAAUUCUAGGACGCUUUUCCUACGUGAAAAAGCGUAUCGAACAAGAGGCCGUCAAUGAAAUUGAGCUGGCGUAAGAUUCCAUCGAGAUUCGGAUUCCUGAGAUCAAAAUAUAUACGGAUAGCGUGGGGAACCCUUCCAAAAAAAAUCUGGAUCUUCAUCUCAGAUUUUGAGAAAAUUCCAAGACUAUAGGCUUACUGUUUUUUUCGGCAAAAAAGUGAAGCAUUUGCCAGAAUGAUUUCGGGACGCUUUUUCUAUGUAAAAAAGCGUAUCGAACGAGAAGCCGUCAAUAAAAUUGAGCUGGCGUAAGAUUCCAUCGAGAUUCGGAUUCCUGAGAUCAAAAUACAUAAGGAUAGCAUGACAAACCCUUCCAAAAAAAAUCUGGAUCUUCAUCUCAGAUUUUGAGAAAAUUCCAAGGCUAUAGGCUUACUGUUUUUUUCGGCAAAAAAGUAAAGCAUUUGCUAGAAUAAUUCUAGGACGCUUUUCCUACGUGAAAAAGCGUAUCGAACAAGAGGCCGUCAAUGAAAUUGAGCUGGCGUAAGAUUCCAUCGAGAUUCGAAUUCCUGAGAUCAAAAUACAUAAGGAUAGCAUGACAAACCCUUCCAAAAAAAAUCUGGAUCUUCAUCUCAGAUUUUGAGAAAAUUCCAAGGCUAUAGGCUUACUGUUUUUUUCGGCAAAAAAGUGAAGCAUUUGCUAGAAUAAUUUCGGGACGCUUUUUCCAUGUAAAAAAGCGUAUCGAACGAGAAGCCGUCAAUGAAAUUGAGCUGGCGUAAGAUUCCAUCGAGAUUCGGAUUCCUGAGAUCAAAAUACAUCGGAAUCACAUAGAAAUUCUCAUGAAUAAAAUUCUCUCCAGAUACUCCGGAAAGAUGUUCCUAGACCUGGUGCCUCAUCAUGUCCAUGCCUUCAUUUCUGUGUAAUAAAUCAUACUUCUACAGGGUAUAUUAAAGACAUAAGCUAGUUUCAUGCUGGCCUGAUUUUAUGCAAUCAUAUGUAUUCAAUCCCACUCCUAUCAAUACAUUCACUGCAAUUACCACA